UACGGCGGCCAGAGCGGCGGGGCACCACCCGUACCCAUCCCGAACACGGCAGUUAAGCCCGCCCGCGUUUCGGCCAGUACUGGCGUGGGAGACCCGCUGGGAACCCCGGCUCGCCGCCGACC
rnacentral:rRNA from 1 species